GGUCAAGUGAAGAAGCGCAUACGGUGGAUGCCUUGGCAGUCAGAGGCGAUGAAAGACGUGGUAGCCUGCGAAAAGCUUCGGGGAGUCGGCAAACAGACUGUGAUCCGGAGAUGUCUGAAUGGGGGAACCCAGCCAUCAUAAGAUGGUUAUCUUGUACUGAAUACAUAGGUGCAAGAGGCGAACCAGGGGAACUGAAACAUCUAAGUACCCUGAGGAAAAGAAAUCAACCGAGAUUCCCUUAGUAGUGGCGAGCGAACGGGGACCAGCCCUUAAGUUGUAUUGAGAUUAGCGGAACGUUCUGGAAAGGACGGCCAUAGUGGGUGAUAGCCCUGUACGCGAAAAUCCCUUUGCAAUGAAAUCGAGUAGGACGGGGCACGAGAAACCUUGUCUGAAUAUGGGGGGACCAUCCUCCAAGGCUAAAUACUACUGACUGACCGAUAGUGAACCAGUACCGUGAGGGAAAGGCGAAAAGAACCGCGGAGAGCGGAGUGAAAUAGAUCCUGAAACCGUAUGCGUACAAGCAGUGGGAGCCCACUUUGUUGGGUGACUGCGUACCUUUUGUAUAAUGGGUCAGCGACUUAUUUUCAGUGGCGAGCUUAACCGAAUAGGGGAGGCGUAGCGAAAGCGAGUCUUAAUAGGGCGUCUAGUCGCUGGGAAUAGACCCGAAACCGGGCGAUCUAUCCAUGGGCAGGUUGAAGGUUGGGUAACACUAACUGGAGGACCGAACCGACUACCGUUGAAAAGUUAGCGGAUGACCUGUGGAUCGGAGUGAAAGGCUAAUCAAGCUCGGAGAUAGCUGGUUCUCCUCGAAAGCUAUUUAGGUAGCGCCUCAUGUAUCACUGUAGGGGGUAGAGCACUGUUUCGGCUAGGGGGUCAUCCCGACUUACCAAACCGAUGCAAACUCCGAAUACCUACAAGUGCCGAGCAUGGGAGACACACGGCGGGUGCUAACGUCCGUCGUGAAAAGGGAAACAACCCAGACCGUCAGCUAAGGUCCCAAAGUCAUGGUUAAGUGGGAAACGAUGUGGGAAGGCUUAGACAGCUAGGAGGUUGGCUUAGAAGCAGCCACCCUUUAAAGAAAGCGUAAUAGCUCACUAGUCGAGUCGGCCUGCGCGGAAGAUGUAACGGGGCUCAAACCAUGCACCGAAGCUACGGGUAUCAUCUUAGGAUGAUGCGGUAGAGGAGCGUUCUGUAAGCCUGUGAAGGUGAGUUGAGAAGCUUGCUGGAGGUAUCAGAAGUGCGAAUGCUGACAUGAGUAACGACAAUGGGUGUGAAAAACACCCACGCCGAAAGACCAAGGUUUCCUGCGCAACGUUAAUCGACGCAGGGUUAGUCGGUCCCUAAGGCGAGGCUGAAAAGCGUAGUCGAUGGAAAACAGGUUAAUAUUCCUGUACUUCUGGUUAUUGCGAUGGAGGGACGGAGAAGGCUAGGCCAGCCUGGCGUUGGUUGUCCAGGUUUAAGGUGGUAGGCUGAGAUCUUAGGUAAAUCCGGGAUCUCAAGGCCGAGAGCUGAUGACGAGUGUUCUUUAGAACACGAAGUGGUUGAUGCCAUGCUUCCAAGAAAAGCUUCUAAGCUUCAGGUAACCAGGAACCGUACCCCAAACCGACACAGGUGGUUGGGUAGAGAAUACCAAGGCGCUUGAGAGAACUCGGGUGAAGGAACUAGGCAAAAUGGCACCGUAACUUCGGGAGAAGGUGCGCCGGUGAGGGUGAAGCAUUUACUGCGUAAGCCCACGCCGGUCGAAGAUACCAGGCCGCUGCGACUGUUUAUUAAAAACACAGCACUCUGCAAACACGAAAGUGGACGUAUAGGGUGUGACGCCUGCCCGGUGCCGGAAGGUUAAUUGAUGGGGUUAGCGCAAGCGAAGCUCUUGAUCGAAGCCCCGGUAAACGGCGGCCGUAACUAUAACGGUCCUAAGGUAGCGAAAUUCCUUGUCGGGUAAGUUCCGACCUGCACGAAUGGCGUAACGAUGGCGGCGCUGUCUCCACCCGAGACUCAGUGAAAUUGAAAUCGCUGUGAAGAUGCAGUGUAUCCGCGGCUAGACGGAAAGACCCCGUGAACCUUUACUAUAGCUUUGCACUGGACUUUGAAUUUGCUUGUGUAGGAUAGGUGGGAGGCUUUGAAGCGUGGACGCCAGUCUGCGUGGAGCCAACCUUGAAAUACCACCCUGGCAACUUUGAGGUUCUAACUCAGGUCCGUUAUCCGGAUCGAGGACAGUGUAUGGUGGGUAGUUUGACUGGGGCGGUCUCCUCCUAAAGAGUAACGGAGGAGUACGAAGGUGCGCUCAGACCGGUCGGAAAUCGGUCGUAGAGUAUAAAGGCAAAAGCGCGCUUGACUGCGAGACAGACACGUCGAGCAGGUACGAAAGUAGGUCUUAGUGAUCCGGUGGUUCUGUAUGGAAGGGCCAUCGCUCAACGGAUAAAAGGUACUCCGGGGAUAACAGGCUGAUACCGCCCAAGAGUUCAUAUCGACGGCGGUGUUUGGCACCUCGAUGUCGGCUCAUCACAUCCUGGGGCUGAAGCCGGUCCCAAGGGUAUGGCUGUUCGCCAUUUAAAGUGGUACGCGAGCUGGGUUUAGAACGUCGUGAGACAGUUCGGUCCCUAUCUGCCGUGGACGUUUGAGAUUUGAGAGGGGCUGCUCCUAGUACGAGAGGACCGGAGUGGACGAACCUCUGGUGUUCCGGUUGUCACGCCAGUGGCAUUGCCGGGUAGCUAUGUUCGGAAAAGAUAACCGCUGAAAGCAUCUAAGCGGGAAACUUGCCUCAAGAUGAGAUCUCACUGGAACCUUGAGUUCCCUAAAGGGCCGUCGAAGACUACGACGUUGAUAGGUUGGGUGUGUAAGCGCUGUGAGGCGUUGAGCUAACCAAUACUAAUUGCCCGUGAGGCUUGACCAU
rnacentral:rRNA from 2 species